rnacentral:rRNA from 1 species
GACGAACGCUGGCGGCGUGCCUAAUACAUGCAAGUCGACCUUAGUGGCGGACGGGUGAGUAACACGUGGGAACCUACCCCUCAGAGGGGGAUAACACUUGGAAACAGGUGCUAAUACCGCAUACUAUCCGAUGAGCCUAGGUCGGCUUAGCUAGUUGGUGGGGUAAAGGCCUUCCAAGGCGACGAUCCGUGAGUGGUCUGAGAAGAUGAUCAGUCACACUGGAACGGAGACACGGUCCAGUGUCCUACGGGAGGCAGCAGUGGGGAAUAUUGGACAAUGGGCGAAAGCCUGAUGCAGCGACGCCGCGUGGGGGAUGAAGGCUUUCGGGUUGUAAAACUCUUUCGCUAUCGAACGGGUAGGUGGAGAAGAAGUGCCGGCUAACUACGUGCCAGCAGCCGCGGUAAUUC